AUUGAACGCUGGCGGCAUGCCUUACACAUGCAAGUCGAACGGCAGCACGGGAGCAAUCCUGGUGGCGAGUGGCGAACGGGUGAGUAAUAUAUCGGAACGUGCCCAGUCGUGGGGGAUAACGUAGCGAAAGCUACGCUAAUACCGCAUACGAUCUAUGGAUGAAAGCGGGGGGAUCGCAAGACCUCGCGCGAUUGGAGCGGCCGAUAUCAGAUUAGGUAGUUGGUGAGGUAAAGGCUCACCAAGCCGACGAUCUGUAGCUGGUCUGAGAGGACGACCAGCCACACUGGGACUGAGACACGGCCCAGACUCCUACGGGAGGCAGCAGUGGGGAAUUUUGGACAAUGGGCGCAAGCCUGAUCCAGCAAUGCCGCGUGCAGGA
rnacentral:rRNA from 1 species